CCUACGGGUGGCAGCAGUAGGGAAUAUUGCUCAAUGGGGGAAACCAUGAAGCAGCAACGCCGCGUGGAGGAUGAAGGUUUUCGGAUUGUAAACUCCUUUUGUUAGAGAAGAUAAUGACGGUAUCUAACGAAUAAGCACCGGCUAAUGCCGUGCCAGCAGCCGCGGUAAUACGGAGGGUGCAAGCGUUACUCGGAAUCACUGGGCGUAAAGAGCGCGUAGGCGGGAUAGCAGGUCAGAUGUGAAAUCCUAUGGCUUAACCCUAGAACUGCAUUUGAAACUGUUAUUCUAGAGUAUGGGAGAGGUAGGUGGAAUUCUUGGUGUAGGGGUAAAAUGCGUAGAGAUCAAGAGGAAUACUCAUUGCGAAGGCGACCUGCUAGAACAUAACUGACGCUGAUGCGCGAAAGCGUGGGGAGCAAACAGGAUUAGAUACCCUUGUAGUC
rnacentral:rRNA from 1 species